rnacentral:rRNA from 1 species
AUGCAUGUGUAAGUAUAAAUAGUUAACUUUGAAACUGCGAAUGGCUCAUUAUAUCAGUUAUAGUUUAUUUGAUGAAGAAUACUAAUUGGAUAACCGUAGUAAUUCUAGAGCUAAUACAUGUAUAAAGUCUUGUAGACUGCAUUUAUUAGAAUGAAAACCAUAGGUUUCGGCCUAUUCGUGAGUAAUAAUAACUAAUCAUAUCGUAUGCUUAUGUAACGAUGUGUCUUUCAAGUUUCUGCCCUAUCAGCUUUCGAUGGUAGUGUAUUGGACUACCAUGGCAGUAACGGGUAACGAAGA